UCCUUCAGACUUAUUUUUCAAUAAAUGCUUCUAGGCAGCAUUAGCAUGGCUAAAACCCUUCAGCUUUAGGGGAGCUCCACCCCCCACCAUUUUAAGCAUUUUUCUU